GACGAACGCUGGCGGCGUGCUUAACACAUGCAAGUCGAACGGAAAGGCCCUGCUUUUGGGGUACUCGCGUGUGGAGCGGGGGAGUGACACGUGGGUGUACUGCCCUGCUCUUCGGGGUAUACCUGUUAGACAGUGGGGAAUACAUCGUAUGACAUUUCAUGCAGCGUGGGGGGUGUUAGUAUUUAUCGGUGUUGGAUGAGCGCGCGGCGUAUCAGCUUGUUGGUGGGGUAAUGGCUUACCAAGGCGUCUACGGGUAGCAGGCCUGAGAGGGUGGCCGGCCACAUUGGGACUGAGGUACGGCCCAGACUCCUACGGGAGGCAGCAGUGGGGAAUAUUGCACAAUGGGCGGAAGCCUGAUGCAGCAACGCCGCGUGGGGGAUGACGGCCUUCGGGUUGUAAACCGCUUUCGACAGGGACGAAGCUUGGGUGACGGUAACUGUAUAAGAAGCACCGGCUAACUACGUG
rnacentral:rRNA from 1 species